CAGCAGCCGCGGUAAAACGAAGGGUGCAAGCGUUACUCGGAAUUACUGGGCGUAAAGCGUGCGUAGGUGGUGGUUUAAGUCCGUUGUGAAAGCCCUGGGCUCAACCUGGGAAUUGCAGUGGAUACUGGGUCACUAGAGUGUGGUAGAGGAUAGUGGAAUUUCCGGUGUAGCAGUGAAAUGCGUAGAUAUGCGGAGGAAUACCGAUGGCGAAGGCAGCCAUCUGGCCUAAUACUGACGCUGAGGUACGAAAGCAUGGGGAGCAAACAGGAUUAGAUACCCCCGUAGUCCCUGUCUCUUAUAC
rnacentral:rRNA from 1 species